GACGGGGGCCCGCACAAGCGGCGGAGCAUGCGGAUUAAUCGAUGCAACGCGAAGAACCUUACCAAGGCUUGACAUACACCGGUAACGCCCAGAGAUGGGUGCCCCUUUGUGGUCGGUGGACAGGUGGUGCAUGGUUGUCGUCAGCUCGUGUCGUGAGAUGUUGGGUUAAGUCCCGCAACGAGCGCAACCCUCGUCCUAUGUUGCCAGCGGGUCAUGCCGGGGACUCAUGGGAGACUGCCGGGGUCAACUCGGAGGAAGGUGGGAUGACGUCAAAUCAUCAUGCCCCUUAUGUCUUGGGCUUCACGCAUGCUACAAUGGCCGGUACAAAGGGCUGCGAUACCGCGAGGUGGAGCGAAUCCCAGAAAGCCGGUCUCAGUUCGGAUUGGGGUCUGCAACUCGACCCCAUGAAGUCGGAGUCGCUAGUAAUCGCAGAUCAGCAACGCUGCGGUGAAUACGUUCCCGGGCCUU
rnacentral:rRNA from 1 species